rnacentral:lncRNA from 1 species
UAGGGUAAGUAUAUUCUCUUCGACAUGUGGUACCAGCCGUGUUGCUUAUGCAUCAUGGAAGUAAAAUCCGGUAAUAAGUCUAAUUAAUUUAAUUGGUAGUUCAUAUUUGGUAAAGGGGACGGGAUUGUAGUCUUGACACUUAGAAAAUGUCCGCUAUCAUCUGUGAAAAGGACAUUGAUUCGAUAACGGUCAACCAACUAUUCAUGGUGUCUGUUUUUACGAAGGGAUGAUUUCAACGUCA